AAGUCCUGGAGGGUCACACGGACGAGAUCUUCUCCUGCGUCUUCAACUAUGAGGGGGACGCCAUCAUCACAGGCAGCAAGGACAACACAUGCCAGAUCUGGUCCUGAGUCCUGGACCCCCAGAGGACCAUCAUGUGUUCCACCAUGCCGAGUCAUCUGAGUUAAAGGGGCAUUGCAUCAUCUCUGAUUACAUGUCCCUGAUGUUCCUCAGACACGUUGACGCUCCACUGGUUUCCUGAGUGAACACUUUGCUCAUUAAAUGUUUUUUUAUAAAUAUUUCUGACAUUUUGGACGAA